UACGUAGGGCGCAAGCGUUGUCCGGAAUUAUUGGGCGUAAAGAGCUCGUAGGCGGUCUGUCACGUCGGAUGUGAAAGCCCGGGGCUUAACCCCGGGUCUGCAUUCGAUACGGGCAGACUAGAGUGUGGUAGGGGAGAUCGGAAUUCCUGGUGUAGCGGUGAAAUGCGCAGAUAUCAGGAGGAACACCGGUGGCGAAGGCGGGUCUCUGGGCAGUAACUGACGCUGAGGAGCGAAAGCGUGGGGAGCGAACAGG
rnacentral:rRNA from 1 species